rnacentral:rRNA from 1 species
GACGAACGCUGGCGGCGUGCCUAAUACAUGCAAGUCGAACGCUGAAGGAGGAGCUUGCUUCUCUGGAUGAGUUGCGAACGGGUGAGUAACGCGUAGGUAACCUGCCUGGUAGCGGGGGAUAACUAUUGGAAACGAUAGCUAAUACAGCAUAAGAGUAGAUGUCGCAUGACAUUUGCUUCAAAGGUGCAAUUACAUCACUACCAGUAGGACCUGCGUUGUAUUAGCUAGUUGGUGAGGUAACGGCUCACCAAGGCAACGAUACAUAGCCGACCUGAGAGGGUAAUCUGCCACACUGGGACUGAGACACGGCCCAGACUCCUACGGGAGGCAGCAGGAGGGAAUCUUCGGCAAUGGACGGAAGUCUGACCGAGCAACGCCGCGUGAGUGAAGAAGGGUUUCGGAUCGUAAAGCUCUGUUGUAAGAGAAGAACGAGUGUGAGAGUGGAAAGUUCACACUGUGACGGUAUCUUACCAGAAAGAGACGGCUAACUACGUG